rnacentral:rRNA from 1 species
AGAGUUUGAUCAUGGCUCAGAACGAACGCUGGCGGCGCAUAUUAGACAUGCAAGUCGAACGGUCCAGCACCUUCAAUGAGUUGAAUGAGUAGCAAUACUCAAGAGGCUUUGAGAAAGUGCUGGAUAGUGGCGGACGGGUGAGUAAUGUGCAGGUAACCUGCCCUCCAGACGGGAAUAACUCUGCGAAAACCGAGCUAAUACCCGGUAAGACCCCAUGGGGGCAUCCCCGUGGGGUGGAAGAUGUCCCAAGGCUGUGAAUAACGGAGGAGGGAGAUCGCUGGAAGAGGGGCCUGUAUCCUAUUAGCUUGUUGGUGAGGUAACGGCUCACCAAGGCGACGAUGGGUAGCCGGCCUGAGAGGGUGAUCGGCCACACUGGGACUGAGACACGGCCCAGACUCCUACGGGAGGCAGCAGUUUGGAAUAUUGCGCAAUGGGCGAAAGCCUGACGCAGUGACGCCGCGUGGGUGAUGAAGGCCUUCGGGUCGUAAAGCCCUGUCGUGCAGGAAGAUGCCCCGAUUUUAUCGGGGUGACGGUACUGCAGGAGGAAGCCCCGGCUAACCACGUGCCAGCAGCCGCGGUAAUACGUAGGGGGCAAGCGUUGUUCGGAAUCAUUGGGCGUAAAGGGCGUGUAGGCGGUUUGGUAAGUCGGGUGUGAAAUCCCUCCGCUCAACGGAGGAAUUGUGCGCGAAACUGCCAUGCUUGAGUACGGGAGAGGGGAGUGGAACUGUGGGUGUAGCGGUGAAAUGCGUAGGUAUCCACAGGAACACCGGUGGCGAAGGCGGCUCCCUGGCCCGAUACUGACGCUGAAACGCGAAAGCCAGGGGAGCGAACAGGAUUAGAUACCCUGGUAGUCCUGGCUGUAAACGAUGGGCACUAGGUGUAGGAAGUAUUGACCCUUCCUGUGCCGCAGCUAACGCGUUAAGUGCCCGCUGGGAGUACGCGCAAGGCUGAACUCAAUGAAUUGACGG